rnacentral:rRNA from 1 species
AGAGUUUGAUCCUGGCUCAGGACGAACGCUGGCGGCGUGCCUAACACAUGCAAGUCGAACGGAGUUGGAAAGCUUGCUUUCCGGCUUAGUGGCGGACGGGUGAGUAAUGCGUGAGCAACCUGCCUGUCAGUGGGGGAUAACUUCCGGAAACGGACGCUAAUACCGCAUAUAGUACAUAAUCCGCAUGGAUAAGUGUAUGAAAGGAGCAAUCCGCUGACAGAUGGGCUCACGUCCGAUUAGUUUGUUGGUGAGGUAACGGCUCACCAAGACUGCGAUCGGUAGCCGGGCUGAGAGGCUGAUCGGCCACAUUGGGACUGAGACACGGCCCAGACUCCUACGGGAGGCAGCAGUGGGGGAUAUUGCACAAUGGGGGAAACCCUGAUGCAGCAACGCCGCGUGAGGGAUGAAGGUUUUCGGAUUGUAAACCUCUGUCCUUAGUGAAGAAACAAAUGACGGUAACUAAGGAGGAAGCUCCGGCUAACUACGUGCCAGCAGCCGCGGUAAUACGUAGGGAGCGAGCGUUGUCCGGAUUUAUUGGGUGUAAAGGGUGCGUAGGCGGCUAUGUAAGUCAGACGUGUAAUGCAGGGGCUUAACUCCUGAACUGCGUUUGAAACUGUGUGGCUUGAGUGGAGUAGAGGCAGAUGGAAUUUCCAGUGUAGCGGUGAAAUGCGUAGAUAUUGGAAGGAACACCAGUGGCGAAGGCGAUCUGCUGGGCUCUAACUGACGCUGAGGCACGAAAGCAUGGGGAGCAAACAGGAUUAGAUACCCUGGUAGUCCAUGCCGUAAACGAUGAUUACUAGGUGUGGGGGGACUGACCCCUUCCGUGCCGGAGUUAACACAAUAAGUAAUCCACCUGGGAAGUACGAUCGCAAGGUUGAAACUCAAAGGAAUUGACGGGGGCCCGCACAAGCAGUGGAGUAUGUGGUUUAAUUCGAAGAUACGCGAAAAACCUUACCAGGUCUUGACAUCCGACUAACGAAGCAGAGAUGCAUUAGGUGCCCUUCGGGGAAAGUCGAGACAGGUGGUGCAUGGUUGUCGUCAGCUCGUGUCGUGAGAUGUUGGGUUAAGUCCCGCAACGAGCGCAACCCUUACGGUCAGUUGCUACGCAAGAGCACUCUGACAGGACUGCCGUUGACAAAACGGAGGAAGGUGGGGAUGACGUCAAAUCAUCAUGCCCUUUAUGACCUGGGCUACACACGUACUACAAUGGUCGUUAACAGAGGGACACAAUGGAGCGAUCCGGAGUUAAUCCCUAAAAACGAUCCCAGUUCAGAUUGCAGGCUGCAACUCGCCUGUAUGAAGUUGGAAUUGCUAGUAAUCGCGAAUCAGCAUGUCGCGGUGAAUACGUUCCCGGGCCUUGUACACACCGCCCGUCACACCAUGGGAGCCGGUAAUACCCAAAGUCAGUUGUCUAACCUUCGGGAGGACGCUGCCUAAGGUAGGAUUGGCGACUGGGGUGAAGUCGUAA